rnacentral:piRNA from 1 species
UGACUCCUUCCGAUCUCUGAUCUCUCUGU